CACAAAUACGCUGAGGCGGCAUUCUUUAUCUGCAGUAACGCUCAGUGUCGGCUGCGAAGGUCACCUUGACAAAUGAACUUCCCUGGUGGAAAACAACCUCCUCCACUGGCUCCUUAGAGUAUACAGCAGCUCUUUGAAGAUGGCUGGAGGUUCACAAUGCUGGUAAAAUUUUGUUGGUGGGGAAGUGGAGAGUGGGCAGGAGGAAGCACAGUGACAACUAUCUCCAGAACUUCCUCAGAUCUGUGAUUUGUGCAGACACCAGCUUUUACAUGGAUGUUUUUGAAACCGAGUGCUGCCUGGCUGGAAGCUGUCCUAGCUGGAGCCGCUUUCCUUCAGAGAGG